rnacentral:pre_miRNA from 1 species
CAGAUCAUUGCUUCUGUCGCUUAGAAAAAAAGUCAUAUUAAUAUAUCAAUAUGACACUUUUUUUCUAAGCGACAGAAACAAUGACCUG